rnacentral:rRNA from 1 species
GACGAACGCUGGCGGCGUGCUUAACACAUGCAAGUCGAACGGAAAGGCCCUGCUUUUGUGGGGUGCUCGAGUGGCGCACGGGUGUGUAACACGUGAGUAACCUGCCCUUGACUUUGGGAUAACUUCAGGAAACUGGUACUAAUACCUGAUAGGAGCUCCUGCUGCAUGGUGGGGGUUGGAACGUUUCGGCGGAUGGGGAUGGACUCGCGGCUUAUCAGCUUGUUGGUUGGGUAGUGGCUUACCAACGCAUUGACGGGUAGCCGGCCUGAGAGGGUGACCGGCGACAUUGGGACUGAGAUACGGACCAGACUCGUACGGGAGGCAGCAGGGGAGAAUAUUGCACAAUGGGGGGAAGCCUGAGGCAGAAACGCCGCGUGCGGGAUGACGGCUUUCGGGUUGUAAACCGCUUUCGCCUGUGACGAAGCGGGAGUGGCGGUAAUGGGUAAAGAAGCACCGGCUAACUACGUG